GCCCCUGUUGUCUAAUGGUUAUGACGUCAGACUUCUAACAGUUCGUGAAUGCGAAGUAAUGUUAUCUGGAGGUUGCGAGUUCGAGUCUCGCCAGGGGUU